UCCCAUAAACUUAAACUCCAGCGUUGGCCUCUUUUCCCUCAAUAUUCAAGCCAAUUGUUAGCGCCUCUUUCGUUCGUUCUCUUCAUUUCUUUCUGUCAAGCCGGCGCUACCUCACGUCAGAAAUACCAUGAAAACAGCCCAACCACAGCGUCCCAAUAGCCCGGCAAUUUCCUCUGUUUUGCUAUGCCAAAAACAAAGCAACCCACCACUAGUUCCACCUUAAACCACAACUCUUUGUGUCAAGCGAACCCACCGCAAGCUACCCAGUCCAAUCGUAAAAAUCACCUAGAACGGCAGCCUCUCAUCAGCCAUCGUGUGUUCCAACCUUUGCAUCGAAUGGUUGCUCCAUCAACAACCGCGGUCAUAUCUACUUCAGCUAUUAAACAAGUUUUUUUUUUUUUUUUAAUUUCAUUUUCUAGAUUUUUUUUCAUAGAAACAAGUUCCAGAAAGCGGUCAUAUCUUGUCUGGCUAUGGCUUCACAUCUGUUAAAUCUUGCCCUUUUGCGAUAUCUUUGUUCUUCAUUUUUCCUAUUCUGUCUAUUGCAGUUUCUCUUUUAAUUUUUCUAUUUUUCAUUCCUUUUUUCCAUCUUAACUGGUUUCAAUCGUAUUUCUCUUCCCGUUCUAGAUUGCUCAAGUUUGUACCAACUUUGGUGUCAAUAUGGGGGAAUAUUUAUGCUAAGUUUGCAAAUUCUAUGAUGACGAUGUAAUUAUGCUUUCUCAGAUUCAACUACCUGAAUGGGGAAAAUAAAGAACUUUAUUUAUUUUAUUUGUAUCCAUAGCAAUUAGAUUAGAUUUUGUGUUUUAUUCGUACACUCCACAUUUUACUUAUAGGUAUGCUUACAUGAUUUUAACUUAUUUUCUGAACUGCUCAUAUGAUCAAUCUAAUGUUCAUACGUUUGGAUGGUGAAAAGAAGCUAUGGCUACAUGAACCUUAGUCUCAUUGUUAAUGGACCUCACUAUUUGUCAAGUAAAUCAAAAGUAACAAAUGCAUUCAAACUUGAAAGAGAUCAUGAACCAGAUUUUCUCGUCUAGAAAUUUUCCACUCAAACCACAACCAGGUGAAUCAAUACAUGUUGGUAGCUUCUUUCAGAGUUAACAAAAAAUUCUAAUUUUGAAACUUUCUUGAUUGAGACAUGUUUCUUUGUGAUUCAUUGUGCGUUGCUUGUGAAUCAUUGAUACAUGUUUCUCUGUAACUUAAAUUGCCAUAGAUGCAAAGGCAUGGGAUGAAGGAACGUCUUGAUUCCAUUAGAAUUUUUAUAUAGUUAUUGAAUAGUCUGGACAUAUGGUUCAUCCCAUGGUUCAUAGCUUAAAAAGUUUUGCCUAUUUUGUUACUGCAAUGUUUCAUUGUGAGCACAGUCAACACUUUGCAGACGCCAAUGAUCAAUGCUAGCAUGGUUCUUUGUGGCAGGCAUUUUGGUGGAAUUAACUACCUUGUUGGUGGGAUUGCUAAGUUCUUGGCAAAAGGCCUGAUUGAUCAAGGCAGUGAAAUACUUUCGUUAUAGCUGACAGCUGUUCCUGAGGAGAUGAUCCGAUUUUGUGAAUUUUGUUUUGGAAUUACCUUUCGUUAUAGCUAUUCCUGGUGAACUUAUUCGAUCUGGUAUUGUUCCCAUCCACAAGAAAAGCAGCUGAGGGUCAACAUGAGAUUGAAGAAUGUGGAGUUCGUAUCCAUGAUGAAGAAUGGGGAGUUCCUAUCCAUGAUGACAAGUAAGCCUCUCUAUCCGUCUUUCCUCUCUCUAGCAUUCACACAUGCCCAUAAUAUGACUGAUUUCAUAUCUCUUAUCUAUCAAGCAGGAUGUUGCUUGAGUUUUUGGUCUUAAGUGGUGCUCAAGUUGGGUUCUUUCUUUCGACUAACACACACUCAAUCUUGUUUUCUUUUUGCAA